rnacentral:tRNA from 1 species
GCAUGGUUGGUUUAGUGGCAUAAUUACCGCCUGCCAUUGCAGCACGCGGUAGACCCGGGUUCGAUUCCCGGACCAUGCA